AGAGUUUGAUCCUGGCUCAGAACGAACGCUGGCGGCAUGCCUAACACAUGCAAGUCGAACGAGACCUUCGGGUCUAGUGGCGCACGGGUGCGUAACGCGUGGGAAUCUGCCCUUGGGUUCGGAAUAACAGCUAGAAAUGGCUGCUAAUACCGAAUAAUGACGUAAGUCCAAAGAUUUAUCGCCCAAGGAUGAGCCCGCGUAGGAUUAGCUAGUUGGUGAGGUAAAAGCUCACCAAGGCGACGAUCCUUAGCUGGUCUGAGAGGAUGAUCAGCCACACUGGGACUGAGACACGGCCCAGACUCCUACGGGAGGCAGCAGUGGGGAAUAUUGGACAAUGGGCGAAAGCCUGAUCCAGCAAUGCCGCAU
rnacentral:rRNA from 1 species